rnacentral:lncRNA from 1 species
CCAGCCCAAAAUUAAAUCUAACCCAACAGCCCAGAAAUUAAAAAAAAACCUAGCCCAUAAAACUUAAAAAUUUUUCAGCUAUCAAGGGAACCCUAGCCUCCAAGCGCCGCAACCUUUACUGCCCAUGUGUGCCGAUCCACCUCCUCGGAUGCCCCCUGGCCACCGCGCUGCUCGCCUAUCACCUCAUCCGCGUGCUCUGACAUCUCUGUU